UGGGGGAUAUUGCACAAUGGGCGAAAGCCUGAUGCAGCGACGCCGCGUGGGGGAUGAAGGCUUUCGGGUUGUAAACCUCUUUCGCUAUCGAACAAGGCCCGCUUAGGGUGGGUUGAGGGUAGGUGGAGAAGGAGCGCCGGCUAACUACGUGCCAGCAGCCGCGGUAAUACGUAGGGCGCGAGCGUUGUCCGGAAUUAUUGGGCGUAAAGGGCUUGUAGGCGGCUUGUUGCGCCUGCUGUGAAAACGCGGGGCUUAACUUCGCGCGUGCAGUGGGUACGGGCAGGCUUGAGUGUGGUAGGGGUGACUGGAAUUCCAGGUGUAGCGGUGGAAUGCGCAGAUAUCUGGAGGAACACCGAUGGCGAAGGCAGGUCACUGGGCCAUUACUGACGCUGAGGAGCGAAAGCAUGGGUAGCGAACAGG
rnacentral:rRNA from 1 species